rnacentral:lncRNA from 1 species
CUUUAGUACAAUAGUAUUCUAUCACAAUCACAUGCAAAAACUUGUUCUUCCAUCCAUUCCCCAAUUGAUGGGUAUCCUCUCCUUUUCCAGAUUUUAGCAAUCAUAAAAAAAUACUUCUAUAAUUUUUUUUGUACAAAUAGCUUCUUUUUCUUUUUCUCUGAUGUCUUUGGGAUACAUACCUACUGGGGAUAUUGCUGGGUCAAAGGGUUUGCAUAGUUUUAUUCUCCUUUGGGAACAGUUUAGAUUUGUUCUCUAAAAUAGUUAGGCCUAUUCAAACUGAAAACAGGAGCCAAAAGAGGUCCAAUUUUUCCAUAUCCCCUGGAGCAUUUUUCAUUUUCAUUUUCUAUCAUGUAAAUCAAUCUGACAGUCAUCUGUAAGGUGUGACCUCAGAGUUGUUUUAAUUUACCUUUCUCAAAUUAAUAGUGAUUCAGAGUAUUUUUUCAGGUGACCUUAGAUAGCUUUGUUUUCUUCUGAAUAUUGCCUUUUCAGAUUCUGUACUAUUUAUCAAAUGAGGAAUGGUUCUUAUUUUUUAUAAAUUUAAGUCAAUUACCUAUAUGUUUGAGGAAUGAGGUCUUUAUCACAGAAAUAGUCAUUUAAAAAAUAUUACUUCACUAUUUAUGGUGCUUUUUAGUAAAAUGCAAUUUGCCUGAUUAUCUCUUUUAAUGAGGUCUAUUUUUGCUUUUUGCUUUGUCUGAGAUCAUGAUUGCUACCUUAAGCUUUUUUACUUCAUUUAGAACAUAAUCAAUUCUGAUUCAUUCCCUUAUUUUAAUCUCUGUGUAUCUUUCUGUUUCCAGUGUUUCUUGUAAACAAUGUAUAGUUGGAUUUUGGUUUCAAAUACAUUCUGCUCUCCACUUCCAUUUUAUGGAUUCUGGUGCGUCAGUCCACUAAUCAACUUUGUGGAGAUAAGCAGUAGAAGACUUCAGCUUUGAUCUGGUGCUACAGCACCUGCCUUAUCCACUUCUUAGACUAAUGGUGUUAGGUAAAGACAUACAUUUGAUUCUUCAAAGGGAAAAAAUAAGUACCACAUACUUGUAGUCACUGCAUAUCUUUUGUCCCUCCUCCUUAUUCCUAUUCUACCAAAUAAAAAACUUAAAACUAUUGUUUUAUGUGACA